rnacentral:rRNA from 1 species
UUGAUCCUGGCUCAGAAUCAACGCUGGCGGCGUGCCUAACACAUGCAAGUCGAACGCGAAAGCCCCGCAAGGGGUAAGUAGAGUGGCGAACGGGUGAGUUACACGUGGGUGACCUACCUUCGAAUGGGGGAUAACGUCCCGAAAGGGACUCUAAUACCGCAUAACAUCCUGCUCUUGAACGAGUGGAGAUCAAAGCCGGUGAUCGCAAGACCUGGCGUUUGAAGAGGGGCCCGCGUCUGAUUAGCUAGUUGGUGAGGUAACGGCCCACCAAGGCAACGAUCAGUAUCCGGCCUGAGAGGUCGGACGGACACACUGGGACUGAGACACGGCCCAGACUCCUACGGGAGGCUGCAGUGGGGAAUUGUUCACAAUGGGCGCAAGCCUGAUGACGCAACGCCGUGUGGAGGAUGGAGGUCUUCGGAUUGUAAACUCCUGUUGCCCGGGACGAAUAGCUUCGACCUAACACGUCGAGGUCUGACGGUACCGGGUGAGGAAGCCCUGGCUAACUCUGUGCCAGCAGCCGCGGUAAUAAGGU